AUCAACUUUCGAUGGUAGGAUAGAGGCCUACCAUGGUGGUAACGGGUAACGGGGUGUUAGGGCACGACACCGGAGAGGGAGCCUGAGAAACGGCUACCACAUCCAAGGAUGGCAGCAGGCGCGCAAAUUACCCAAUCCCGACACGGGGAGGUAGUGACAAUAAAUAACAAUACGGGGUUCUUUAGGAUCUCGUAAUUGGAAUGAGUACAAUUUAAAUCUCUUAACGAGGAACAAUUGGAGGGCAAGUCUGGUGCCAGCAGCCGCGGUAAUUCCAGCUCCAAUAGCGUAUAUUAAAGUUGUUGCAGUUAAAAAGCUCGUAGUUGAAUUUCGGGGUUAGUAGGUUGGUCAUGCCUCUGGUAUGUACUGGCCUCACUGAUUCCUCCUUCCUGAUGAGCCGUAAUGCCAUUAAUUUGGUGUUGCGGGGAAUUUGGACUGUUACUUUGAAAAAAUUAGAGUGUUUAAAGCAAGCUAACGCUUGAAUACAUUAGCAUGGAAUAAUGAAAUAGGACGUUCGAUCCUAUUUUGUUGGUUUCUAGGAUUGACGUAAUGAUUAAUAGGGAUAGUUGGGGGCAUUAGUAUUCAAUUGUCAGAGGUGAAAUUCUUGGAUUUAUUGAAGACUAACUACUGCGAAAGCAUUUGCCAAGGAUGUUUUCAUUAAUCAAGAACGAAAGUUAGGGGAUCGAAGACGAUCAGAUACCGUCGUAGUCUUAACCAUAAACUAUGCCGACUAGGGAUCGGAUGAUGUUAAUUUUUUAAUGACUCAUUCGGCGCCUUACGGGAAACCAAAGUGUUUGGGUUC
rnacentral:rRNA from 1 species